rnacentral:ncRNA from 1 species
AGACAGCGCUAUCGCGCUUCCUCAGCCCGAACGGCAUCGAAGUAACGACUGGCUCAAACAACUUUCUUAUCUGAAACUCACG